GCAGUGGUGGUUCGGUGGUAGAAUUCUUGUCUUCCACGCAGAAGACCCAAGUCCUAUUCCUGGCCAAUGCA
rnacentral:tRNA from 1 species